AUUGAACGCUGGCGGCAGGCCUAACACAUGCAAGUCGAGCGGAUGAAGGGAGCUUGCUCCUGGAUUCAGCGGCGGACGGGGGAGUAAUGCCUAUGAAUCUGCCUGGUAGUGGGGGGUAACGUCCGGAGACGGGCGCUAUUACAGCACACGUGCUGUGCGGGAAAGAGGGGGAUCUUCGGACCUCACGCGCUCUGGGGAUCCUAGGUCGGAUUAGCUAGUUGGUGGGGUAAAGGCCUACCAAGGCGACGAUCCGUAACUGGUCUGAGAGGAUGAUCAGUCACACUGGAACUGAGACACGGCCCAGACUCCUACGGGAGGCAGCAGUGGGGAAUAUUGGACAAAGGGCGAAAGCCUGAUCCAGCAAUGCCGCGUGUGUGAAGAAGGUCUUCGGAUUGUAAAGCACUUUAAGUUGGGAGGAAAGGCAGUAAGCUAAUACCUUGCUGUUUUGACGUUACCAGAAGAAUAAGCACCGGCUAACUUCGUG
rnacentral:rRNA from 1 species